UUGGAGGGCAGUCUGGUGCCAGCAGCCGCGGUAAUUCCAGCUCCAAUAGCGUAUAUUAAAGUUGUUGCAGUUAAAAAGCUCGUAGUUGAAUUUCGGGAUCAAUUUGUCGGUCGUGCCUCGGUACGUACUGGCAUUAUUGAUUUCUCCCUUCUGAAGAACCGCGAUGUCAUUAAUUUGGUGUCGUGGGGAAUCAGGACUGUUACUUUGAAAAAAUUAGAGUGUUUAAAGCAGGCGCACGCUUGAAUACAUUAGCAUGGAAUAAUGAAAUAGGACGUUUGAUUCUAUUUUGUUGGUUUCUAGGAUCGACGUAAUGAUUAAUAGGGAUAGUUGGGGGCAUUAGUAUUCAAUUGUCAGAGGUGAAAUUCUUGGAUUUAUUGAAGACUAACUACUGCGAAAGCAUUUGCCAAGGAUGUUUUCAUUAAUCAAGAACGAAAGUUAGGGGAUCGAAGACGAUCAGAUACCGUCGUAGUCUUAACCAUAAACUAUGCCGACUAGGGAUCGGAUGAUGUUAAUUUUUUAAUGACUCAUUCGGCGCCUUACGGGAAAC
rnacentral:rRNA from 1 species